GACGAACGCUAGCGGCGUGCUUAACACAUGCAAGUCGAACGGAAAGGCCCUGCUUUUGUGGUAUGCUCGUGUGGCGAACGUGCGUAAAACGCGUGAGUAACCCGCCCUUGACUUUGGUAUAACUACGGGAAACUGGGGCAUACACCAGAUAGGCGCCCGUUCUGAAUGGGGGGUGUUGAAAUUUUUCGGCGGUUGGGGAUGGACUCGCGGGUUAUCAGCUUGUUGGUGGGGGAGUGGCUUACAAAGGGUUUGACGGGUAGCCGGCCUGAGAGGGUGACCGGCCACAUUGGGACUGAGAUACGGCCCAGACUCCUACGGGAGGCAGAAGUGGGAAAUAUUGCCCAAUGGGCGGAAGCCUGAUGCAGCAACGCCGCGUGCUGGAUGACGGCCUUCGGGUUUUAACCCGCUUUCGCCUGUAACGAAGCGUGAGUGACGGUAAUGGGUAAAGAAGCACCGGCUAACUACGUG
rnacentral:rRNA from 1 species